GGCUUCAUGGUCUAGCGGUAACAACACUUGCCUUUCAUCCUGGUGUCCCGGGUUCGAUCCACGGCCGAGGAGCUA